ACAUGCAGAGAACUUUCCAGAGAUGGAUUGGUGCCUUCGGGAACUCUGACACAGGUGCUGCAUGGCUGUCGUCAGCUCGUGUCGUGAGAUGUUGGUUAAGUCCGUAACGAGCGCAACCCUUGUCCUUAGUUACCAGCACGUUAUGGUGGGCACUCUAAGGAGACUGCCGGUGACAAACCGGAGGAAGGUGGGGGAUGACGUCAAGUCAUCAUGGCCCUUACGGCCUGGGCUACACACGUGCUACAAUGGUCGGUACAAAGGGUUGCCAAGCCGCGAGGUGGAGCUAAUCCCAUAAAACCGAUCGUAAUCCGGAUCGCAGUCUGCAACUCGACUGCGUGAAGUCGGAAUCGCUAGUAAUCGUGAAUCAGAAUGUCACGGUGAAUACGUUCCCGGGCCUU
rnacentral:rRNA from 1 species